GCUGCCGUGGCGCAACUGGUUAGCGCGUGCGGCUGUUAGACAUGAUCAGUACACCGCAAGGUUGGUGGUUCAAGUCCACCCGGUAGCG